rnacentral:rRNA from 1 species
GAUGCUAAUACCGUAUAACAAUAGCAACCGCAUGGUUGCUACUUAAAAGAUGGUUCUGCUAUCACUAAGAGAUGGUCCCGCGGUGCAUUAGUUAGUUGGUGAGGUAAUGGCUCACCAAGACGAUGAUGCAUAGCCGAGUUGAGAGACUGAUCGGCCACAAUGGGACUGAGACACGGCCCAUACUCCUACGGGAGGCAGCAGUAGGGAAUCUUCCACAAUGGGCGAAAGCCUGAUGGAGCAACGCCGCGUGUGUGAUGAAGGGUUUCGGCUCGUAAAACACUGUUGUAAGAGAAGAAUGACAUUGAGAGUAACUGUUCUGUGUGUGACGGUAUCUUACCAGAAAGGAACGGCUAAAUACGUGCCAGCAGCCGCGGUAAUACGUAUGUUCCAAGGCUUAUCCGGAUUUAUUGGGCGUAAAGCGAGCGCAGACGGUUAUUUAAGUCUGAAGUGAAAGCCCUCAGCUCAACUGAGGAAUUGCUUUGGAAACUGGAUGACUUGAGUGCAGUAGAGGAAAGUGGAACUCCAUGUGUAGCGGUGAAAUGCGUAGAUAUAUGGAAGAACACCAGUGGCGAAGGCGGCUUUCUGGACUGUAACUGACGUUGAGGCUCGAAAGUGUGGGUAGCAAACAGGAUUAGAUACCCUGGUAGUCCACACCGUAACGAUGAGUGCUAGGUGUUUGAGGGUUUCCGCCCUUAAGUGCCGCAGCUAACGCAUUAAGCACUCCGCCUGGGGAGUACGACCGCAAGGUUGAACUCAAAGGAUAUGACGG